rnacentral:rRNA from 1 species
UCGUCAGCUCGUGUCGUGAGAUGUUGGGUUAAGUCCCGCAACGAGCGCAACCCUUGCCUUUAGUUGCCAGCAUUAAGUUGGGCACUCUAGAGGGACUGCCAGGGAUAACCUGGAGGAAGGUGGGGAUGACGUCAAAUCAUCAUGCCCCUUAUGCUUAGGGCUACACACGUGCUACAAUGGGUGGUACAGAGGGUUGCCAAACCGUGAGGUGGAGCUAAUCCCUUAAAGCCAUUCUCAGUUCGGAUUGUAGGCUGAAACUCGCCUACAUGAAGCUGGGGUUACUAGUAAUCGCAGAUCAGAAUGCUGCGGUGAAUGCGUUCCCGGGUCUUGUACACACCGCCCGUCACACCAUGGGAGUUGGGGGCGCCCGAAGCCGGUUAGCUAACCUUUUAGGAGGCAACCGUCGAAGGUGAAACCAAUGACUGGGGUGAAGUCGUAACAAGGUAACCGUA